AUUGAACGCUGGCGGCAUGCUUUACACAUGCAAGUCGAACGGGGUGAUGGUGCUUGCACUAUCACCUAGCGGCGGACGGGUGAGUAAUGCUUAGGAAUCUGCCUAUUAGUGGGGGACAACAUUUCGAAAGGAAUGCUAAUACCGCAUACGUCCUACGGGAGAAAGCAGGGGAUCUUCGGACCUUGCGCUAAUAGAUGAGCCUAAGUCGGAUUAGCUAGUUGGUGGGGUAAAGGCCUGCCAAGGCGACGAUCUGUAGCGGGUCUGAGAGGAUGAUCCGCCACACUGGGACUGAGACACGGCCCAGACUCCUACGGGAGGUAGCAGUGGGGAAUAUUGGACAAUGGGCGCAAGCCUGAUCCAGCCAUGCCGCGUGUGUGAAGAAGGCCUUAUGGUUGUAAAGCACUUUAAGCGAGGAGGAGGCUACUUUAGUUAAUACCUAGAGAUAGUGGACGUUACUCGCAGAAUAAGCACCGGCUAACUCUGUGCCAGCCGCCGCAGUAAUAC
rnacentral:rRNA from 1 species